AGCUCCCCUCCUGAGAUGAUGGUCCUCCAAUGUUCUGAACUGGACAAUCUAAAAACAACCUGUGGAAUCGCCUGCCUCCAGAGAUGGCCUGAGCUGGCUGGCAAAGUGGUUAGCGAAGGAGGCGCGGAAGGAGGAGGAGAACCGUUGGCACUUGAAAUCACCCUGGCUUCAGUUCCCGAGGCAGCAGAGAGACCCGUUGAUAUGGGUGGAGCAGAAUCGCACUGGCAGGUAGCCUGGGGGCCAUUGGCAUUGCUCUUCGUAAGUUCUGGACAGGGGUGGUGCCCCCCAAAGUGGAUCCCAUACCGAGAUGAGUUCUGCUUCUAUCUCCCGGCUGCUCCUGCUCUCUCCUGGAAGGAGGCCAGAAUCUUCUGUCAGGACCAAAAGGCAGAUCUAGCGGUUAUCAAGGAUUACAGCAAGCAAACGUUCCUGAGGGACCUUACCGAAGGUGCCAGGGGUCAUGCAUCGUACUUCUGGAUUGGGCUGGCAUGGCGAGAGGCUCAGCUCACCUGGGUGGAUGGCACUCCAAUAUCACAGAGUUGGUACAGCCACUGGCUGCAGGGCCACCCCGGGAAGGAGCACUGCGUCCAGCUUGUGGGCAUCUACACUGCACAGUGGAGAGACUGGGACUGUGAGACCAGCACCUCGUUUAUCUGUGAGAAGCCAAUAAAAGAUGCCUUUUCCAGCAUCACCAGAAAAGUGCGUUUCCGCUCUCACUGCUAUGCCUUCCAUUUCCCAUCCUUGCGGGAACAGAGGUCGUGGAGAGAGGCCCAGUCUUUCUGCCAGAAGCUCGGAGGGAACUUGGCCAUUAUCCACGAUGAAGAGGAGAAUACGUUUCUCUCAAGUGCCUUUCCUGAGGAUGGCUGGCACCUGUGGAUCGGUCUGCGCCUGGGGGCCCUGUGGAAGUGGAGUGAUGCCUCGGCCCCCACCUACCUCCGGUGGCACUCAGCCCCGACCACCGGCCAGGACCAGUGCGUGGCGCUCAGUCUUCGGCCCCUGGAUAGCAGGCAGCACGGGACAUGGAAAGCCAGGCCUUGCCAGGUGCGCCCCACAGCCGAGUACGUAGGUUUCAUCUGCCAACUCCAGUACGAUUCCUGUGGCCCUCCAGAGCCUGUUUGGUUUCUCCUCCCGGGCGGGAUGGGUCCUUAUGCCACAGCUGAUGUCACCUUCUCCUUGCCUGGCCGUGCCACCUUCUCUCUGGCUUUGACCUGCUUCCAUCCGAAUGGCACCCUCUUCUUGAUCAUCUUUGAAUACAAUGCCACUCAUAUCCAUGGCAGCAUCUUUAGUGAACACGGCAGAUUUCUGGUGCACAAGAAUUACCCUCAUGCACCUUUUCCCUCCGGCCUCAACACCUGGAGCUUCAUCAGCUACCCAGAUGGCUUCGCCUGCUUCUUCAACCACCAGGAGCACUUCCGACUGUCAGACAGCCAAGAGGUCUUCCUUGCGAACAUCAGCUCCUUGCAGAUAAGCGGAGCCACCGUAGUCAACGCUUCCCUGGAGUAUCCGCUCUCCUCUGACUUGCGCUUCCCUUACGGGAGCAGCCUGCAGCUGGAGGAUGCCAUCCACCGCUACCUGGGCAACUUCACCCUUGGGCUGUGGAUCCGAAGCUCCUUCCUGGCCUCUCCUCGGAUGUGUGCAGUCAGCUACUCCUUGAAGUGGCAGCAGCAGGCAGAGUUUGCGCUCUUUCUUCUCUCCCCUUCUGGACUGGAAUUCUACGCCAAGGGGGCCCUGCUGUUCAGUGGCACCCGAGUCCUCCUGUUGGAUGGAUCCUGGCAUCACCUGGCUGUCUCGGUCUCCAACACUCCCGGUGUCGCUCCCGUCGAAGUCUUUGUGGAUGGAGAGACCUGGCAGCCAGAGCUGACUGAGAGCGGGGGCUUCCUGUGGAAAGGGCUGUCCCUGGGAGGAAGACUGAGCCUAGGGCAGCUGGAAGGGGGGACCAGCUUCUACGCGGGCGAUCUCAGUGAGAUGAAUCUGUGGGACCGAGCUCUUUCUGAGUUCUCGGUGAAGCAGCUGGCAGCCCUGAGAAACAGGUGGAAGUUCCCCGGGACCGUGGUGAGCUGGAGCCAGCUGGUUGCGAAGAAGCCUCCAGGUGUGCAGAUCAGCCCUCCCAGUGAAGAGCCAGCUCCUCCGUUUGUGUGGCUUGGCCUCCUCCGGCUCAGAGAGAAGGAGGCUUGGGUCCUCUGCACAGACCCAGAGCGGCCCGUCCUCCACAUCCAGCCCCUGCUUGGCCCGUGUGCCAGGCGGGCUCUCUGGGGGUUGCAGCUGAACGGUCGACUCCGCAACGUUGCAGACCCUCCCGCCUGUCUUCUGGUCACCUCAGGCGGGUCCUCGGUGCUGAGCAGCUGGGACUGCUCUGCCGACCCCCGGAGCAGCUUCCGCCUCUUGCCGGACAUGCGGCUGCAGAGUCUGCACUCGGGCCUCUGCUUGUUUCAAGAAGCCGCCAAUGCUACCCUGUAUCUGGGGAAAUGCACCCCUCGGGCUCUGUCCUUCCUUCUGGAUCAGGAUGUGCACUGCCCCCGCUCUAGAGGCUGGAGACCUUGGAAGGACAAAUGCCUCUUCUUCGUGCUGGAUGCAGCCCUGGAGUGGAGCCAGGCGCAGAGGUUCUGCCAGCGGUUCCACGGGGGGAGUCUGCUCUCCCUGAACAGCCCGCAGGAUCUGAUGUGGCUGCAGGGACAGGUCCCAAGGAGCCUCUGGACGGGUUUGCACAGCAGGGGCAGAGAUCUGUGGAGCUGGCUGGACGGGUCCCAGUUCAACCAAGCCUUGCGGCGCUUCGUGUUCUCUCUGAAGCCUUCCGGCACGGCAGUCUGCAUGCUUGCUCUGGCCUCUGGCUUCCUGAAGGCCGAGCCUUGCCACAGGCCUCACCGGUGGAUAUGCCAGGCUCCGCGCCGAAGCGAUUUAUACGUGACCUUCCCUGGGACAUCCUUUGUGGGCGCCAAGGCUGCAGAGGUGAGCUUUCGUUCGCUGCAGGACGCCCAGCAGCAGUGCAGCGCAUUGGGCGAGGGCUGCCAGGUUGUGGUCAGCACCGCGGCAGGCCACCACCUUAUGGUGGGGAGACGCUUGGUCAGCCUGGAGGAUCCUGGAGCAGCAGCAGCCGUGCACGUCAAAGCAAGAUGCUCCCCCGGCUACUCUGGGCAGGACUGUCAGUCAAUGUGCCCUCGAUGCGUGCCCAGCUUAAGCUGCAACCCGCUGACGGGGCUCUGCGAUGGCUUCCUCUACUACCGAGAGGCUCCCGCCCUCGUCGCCUCACUGAAGUGCCUCCCGCCUGAGGUUUGGGUAUUUGAGCGAGGAAGCUGCUGGUCUUACGAGCGCUACAGUAGUCGGGCUGAGGCCAAGGCCGUGUGCAAGAGGUACCUGGGCAGCACAGUGAGGAAGGUUCCACCCCUGAGCAAGAUCCCAGCUGGCCCCUCUGCAGAUGGGAGCCGAGGCUUCCAGCAGCCCGGAGGCUCGCUUUGGGCUUGCCAGCGAGAUGAAGACGUGAAGCUGCCCUCAUUUAGGGAGAAGUUGCUCAUUUCCCACCGGGAUGCUGCUCCCGAGCAGAGGCACGCCUCAUUGCGGGAAGCCGAAGAUGCUUGCUACCUGCAGAAGGAAGGCUGUACAGGGCUCCUGAGCCUGAAAGGAGCUCAUUACACGUUGGCCGGGACGGUGCUGGUCGACAGCCCUGGCUCAGGGGCUCUACUCUCCCUGAAGGCAGCUUGCUCCCCCGGCUUCUGUGGAAAGCGCUGCCAGGGGCGCUGCUCUCCUUGCCUGAGCACGCGCACCUGCAACCCUCUGACUGGCCAGUGCGACGGCAGCCUGCGCUGCGUGCAUCGCUUCAGCCCGUCCUGUCUUCACGGUCUGGUACAUUCCAGAUGUCCGAGGGGUCCCGGCUGGUGGUUCUGGGGCGGACAUUGCUACUACGUGGAGGAGCAGGAGAGCAAGAGCUGGCAAGAGGCCAAGGCUGCCUGUCAGGCCUGUGGCGAAAAUGUGGCCCUCCUGGUUCUGAACAGUGCCAAGGAGAAGGCCUGGGUGGCAGCCAUGGUGCAGAGGGCCAGCUGGACUGGGCUGAGUGAUGCAGACGGAGACGGAGAAUGGAGAUGGGAAGGAGGCCAAGCGGAUAGCCUCUCUCCACCGUGGUUCCCUGGCGUGCCCCUUGUGACCGGAGGCUGCUUGGCGAUUCGUCCUGGGGGAGACCCGGAUGUGGCCGCCUCCGCCUGCUCCCACCUCAGGCCCUGGGUGUGCGAGGGGCUCUGGGCAGCCCGGAGUUCCUGUCCAGCAGAGCCCGGCUGGAGCUACUGGAAUGGCAGCUGCUACUUCUGGGACUCGUCCUCUGGGGUUGCCUGGCCAGAGGCCCAGGAGGCCUGCUGGAGGUUCAGAAAGGCGGAGCUGCUGUACCUGACCUCACUUCAGGAGAUGGACUGGGUGCGUUCACACUUCCAAGGCGCUUUCUGGACAGGCUUGAAUGAUCGGGAGGAGGAGUCGGUCUUUCGCUGGACAGCCCUGGAGUCCCUCACCAAGCAGGUGGCCCAGCACUUGCGAGAUGACUUGGGAAACGGAGGGCGGAAGGACUGUGUGUGGUUUGACUCGGCAACUGGGCUUUUGAGGGAUGCCAGCUGUGGGGAGGAGAGGCCUUUCCUCUGCAAGAGCCCUGAAGCCACAGAGUGGUUUGAUCAGUGGACUGGCUACGGUGUGGCAGGAGAGCCGUCACUGCUGUAUCCCUCUGCAGAAACCCUGGAGGGGGCCAAGCGGGAGUGCCUGCUGGAGCGCCCCGUGUGUGUGGCUGUCCUGGAGACAAGGUCCGGCUUCUACCUGCUCAGCAGCAAGGAUGAGGCCAUCCCCAAAGCAGACUCGGUGCUUCACGUGUGGACCAUUUGCGCGGAAGGGUUUAGUGGCCUGGCCUGCCAAAAGUCCUCAGCAGGUGCCGCCCGGCCAGCCUGCGACUGCAGUGGCACGUUUGAGACAACGGCAGAGAAAGGUGAGGGCUCAGGGGGGCCAGCAGGAACCCAGUGAGCUCUCCAGCCAAGGCGACUGCUCUGGGAUUCUCUGCUGUCUUCCUGUGUGUCUGGAAAGCAGACAGUGAUGAGGUAAACAUUGGUGUUUAUUUCAAAAAGGACUAGAAGUUCUGCCCUUCUUCCCACCCAGUCCACGUAUUGAAAGCCCGGCUCUGUGUUUCUUGCAUUGUGGUGGGAAGGGGCUUCCCUGAGCAAGCUGAGGUCCUUUUAGGAAAAGGGAAUUGGGGUACAGCUUCCACCUUUGGCUCUUGGAUGCCACCAGCUCUGCCGUGUUAUCUUUCCAGAAGAUCUUUACACUUUCUUCCAUCGAGUAAAAACUAUUUCCGUUGACUUGGUAUAUCUGGGUCCCACCAACAAUACAUCCAGAAAGAUAGGUAGAUUUUGUUUAUUUCAAUCAAUUUAUUUGGAGAAAGUAGAAGCUGCCAGCCCCAGAUCUCUUUAGCCUGCUUGAAUAGGAGGAUGGCCGGGAACAUGCUCAUCCCUAAGCUGGCCGUGUGGUUCGUCUUGCUGCAGUUUGUGGCGUCCCUGUACAGACCUGUGUGGAAGAUUGUCAGCAAAUGACUCCGUGGACUAACUGCUCCCUUUGCAUCCCUGUCUGCACGGAGGCCAGCCCGAGCUUUCUGGACCGGGAAGAGUUUGGCCUCAUUACCAUGAUCCAGUUCA